AGAGUGGCCUGUGAACACCGGUCGGGCGAGCUGGCAGUUGGGAGUUUCCCUAGCGACUCAGUUCGGGUGGGCGUUGGGCGCCUGAGUCAGCCAAACAGCCUACUCGGGGUUCUUGGGUAGCCUUUGGGGUGAGGGGACUUGGGCGGCCUUGGUCUGUAAGCUCUGCGUUCCCGGGCGUGGAAGAGACUGGCCGCGCACAUGCGUUUCUGUGGUUUUCCUGGUUUGGGGAAAGCGGGUAAAUGGUGGCUGGUUGCGGCUAACUGGGCCGCGCUAAAAGGUAACCCAAGGCAGGUGGAUUACCUGGGGAAACAGCUGGAGCAGUGGUCCUGGGCCGCCAGUCCGCGGUCAUCCCGGGAGCUUAAGAUGCGGAGUGGUGAUAGGCUCCGGAUGUAUGAGCCCUGUGGCUCAAGGGCGCUGUUCUCUCUGCUCCGAAAUAGAAAUAAUACCUGUCUCACAGAGCUGUUGAAAAGCUCCACUGAAAUAAUGACCGCAAGUGUGAACUGUAAAGCAAUCUCUUCCCUUUCUUCCUGCCCCAGCCACUCAAGCAGGUGCUUGGGUUCUAUGCUGAUGACCUUGUUGGAGAGAUGUGAUUGGUCAGAAAAGCAGCAACUGGGCUGGGCACGGUGGCUCACACCUGUAAUCCCAGCACUUUGGGAGGCCAAGGUGGACAGAUCAUUUGAGCCCAGGAGUUCAAGACCAGCUUGGGCAACAUGGCAAAACCCCCGUCUCUACAAAAAAAAACACAAAAACUAGCCAGGCAUUGUGGUAUGCCCCUGAAGUCCCAGCUACUUGGCAGGCUGAGGCAGGAGGACGGCUUAAGCCCAGAGGUGGAGAUUGCAGUGAACCGAGAUCACGACACUGUACUCCAGCCUGGGUGACAGAGCGAGACCCCAUCUCAAAAAAUAAAUAAAUAAAAGUAAUUAAAAAAAAGAAGGAAAGAAAAAAGAAAAGCAGCUGUUGCUCGCA
rnacentral:lncRNA from 1 species